rnacentral:lncRNA from 1 species
UAGCCUAUCUUCUUACCACUCUUUUAGUGGCUUUAGUGUCACUUAGCUUCCCUUCAGAAUGCAAAGCAAAUUACUACUACACAUCUCCACCUCCACCAACUCCAGUUUAUAAGUAUAAGUCUCCGCCACCACCAGUUUAUAAGUACAAGUCACCACCACCACCUCCUCCAAUCUAUAAAUCCCCACCGCCACCCAUUUAUAAGUAUAAAUCUCCACCACCACCUCCAGUUUACAAGUACAAAUCUCCACCACCACCCGUCUACAAGUACAAGUCUCCUCCACCACCACCUCCAGUUUACAAGUACAAAUCUCCACCACCACCUGUCUACAAGUACAAGUCUCCUCCUCCUCCACCUCCAGUUUAUAAGUACAAAUCUCCACCACCACCCGUCUACAAGUACAAGUCUCCCCCACCACCCGUUUACAAGUACAAGUCUCCACCACCACCUGUCUAUAAGUACAAGUCUCCACCUCCACCUGUCUACAAGUACAAGUCUCCACCACCACCAGUAUACAAGUACAAGUCUCCACCACCUCCAGUAUACAAGUACAAGUCUCCACCACCUCCAGUAUACAAGUACAAGUCUCCACCACCUCCAGUCUAUAAGUACAAGUCUCCACCUCCACCCGUUUACAAAUACAAGUCUCCACCACCUCCAGUCUAUAAGUACAAGUCUCCACCUCCACCCGUUUACAAAUACAAGUCUCCACCACCUCCAGUCUAUAAGUACAAGUCUCCACCUCCACCCGUUUACAAAUACAAGUCUCCACCACCUCCAGUCUACAAGUACAAGUCUCCACCUCCACCCGUUUACAAAUACAAGUCUCCACCACCUCCAGUCUAUAAGUACAAGUCUCCACCACCUCCAGUCUAUAAGUACAAGUCUCCACCACCUCCAGUCUACAAGUACAAAUCUCCACCACCACCCGUUUACAAAUACAAGUCUCCACCACCUCCGGUCUACAAGUACAAAUCUCCACCACCACCCGUCUACAAGUACAAGUCCCCACCACCUCCAGUCUACAAGUACAAGUCUCCACCACCACCCGUCUAUAAGUACAAGUCUCCACCACCUCCAGUCUACAAGUACAAGUCUCCACCACCACCUAUUUACAAGUACAAAUCUCCUCCACCACCAGUUUACAAAUACAAGUCACCACCACCACCCGUUUACAAAUACAAAUCACCCCCAC